rnacentral:lncRNA from 1 species
GCCAUAUUCCUAGCCAGUCAAUGACAUUUUCUGGCCAAUAAACACGCUUACACUGGCUGGCUGCUCCGCCUUCUGACCAGUAAACUGCAUAUUUUUGCAUUAAAAAACGAGGACACGUUGCACCGCUGAGUCGCCCUUCUUUUACUGAUCUUUAUUCUGUGAUUGCUGGCGCCAUUACAUGAAUUAUUCCUAUUUGUGACCCACCAAAACGAAAACUUACAGUUAUUCCUAAAAAUGGCAAGGAGAUCAAAUUAUAGAUCGCUACACCUUAAAACAAUGGGGCAAAUAUACUCGAAAUAUUUUAAAAACUAUACGCUACAAUGAUGUUACAUUCUUACAAAUUUUCAAUUUUGCCAAAAAAAUACGAAGUGAAUUCAGACACUAGGAUUAUUAUACAUAAAUAGCUAUAGUAUUACCAGGGCCGUAUACAGGAUUUUCUCACGGG